CUGGGCCUCCACUCGGGUUAAGGUCGAUGAAUAAAACCAGAGAACUUAAAAAGAGGAAACAUCAACACUGAAGAGGUCAUGGGGAAGAGGAAGGAAAGUACGGCACCUGCUAUCAAUUUGACUUGCAUGUAACCAGAAUUCUCAGAACUUGUUGGUUGCUCCUGCUGGCUCCUGUCCAUGUAUGCCAAGAGGACAUGAUGGCAAGCGGAUUAGAACCAGAGAUGAUGAUCCUUCCAUCCCCCUCUGGGCAUCCUCCUCAGCUUCAAGAGCUACAGAUGCAAGAGCAUGAUGGGC